rnacentral:rRNA from 1 species
GGAUCCAAGCGCUAUCCGGAUUUAUUGGGUUUAAAGGGUGCGUAGGCGGCUUUUUAAGUCAGGGGUGAAAGACGUUAGCUCAACUAACGCAGUGCCCUUGAUACUGAAGAGCUUGAAUGAACUAGAGGUAGGCGGAAUGUGACAAGUAGCGGUGAAAUGCAUAGAUAUGUCACAGAACACCGAUUGCGAAGGCAGCUUACUAUGGUUUAAUUGACGCUGAGGCACGAAAGCGUGGGGAUCAAACAGGAUUAGAUACCCUGGUAGUCCACGCCCUAAACGAUGAAUACUCGCUGUUAGCGAUACACAGUUAGCGGCUAAGCGAAAGCGUUAAGUAUUCCACCUGGGGAGUACGGUCGCAAGAUUGAAACUCAAAGGAAUUGACGGGGGCCCGCACAAGCGGAGGAGCAUGUGGUUUAAUUCGAUGAUACGCGAGGAACCUUACCCGGGCUUGAAAGUUAGUGAAUGGAUUAGAGAUAGUCAAGUCCGCAAGGACACGAAACUAGGUGCUGCAUGGCUGUCGUCAGCUCGUGCCGUGAGGUGUUGGGUUAAGUCCCGCAACGAGCGCAACCCCUAUGUUUAGUUGCCAGCACGUCAAGGUGGGGACUCUAAACAGACUGCCUGUGCAAACAGAGAGGAAGGAGGGGACGACGUCAAGUCAUCAUGGCCCUUACGUCCGGGGCUACACACGUGCUACAAUGGAUGGUACAGAGGGCAGCAAGCUGGCAACAGCAAGCCAAUCUCCAAAAGCCAUUCACAGUUCGGAUAGAGGUCUGCAGCUCGACCUCUUGAAGUUGGAUUCGCUAGUAAUCGCAUAUCAGCAAUGAUGCGGUGAAUACGUUCCCGGGCCUGUACACACCGCUCGUCAGCCAUGGAAGUGGGGUACCUAAAG